AAUAUUUGUAAAUUCUUUUGGCUUUCGCUAACUGAAGCUUCUGUAUCCGCUUAGCUUGAAACGUAAAAGUUCAGCCAGGCUAUUUAUAAACCUACCUAAAUAACAUCGAGUUCAUUCCGUAACUUCUGUGUUUCUUAACCCCAGUCACAAUUCCCCCUUUGGCGUUAGAAUAGUUAAAAAUGAGACGGUUUAGCUUAAUUAACUUGUUAUGGUAGUGAUGUUUUCUUGCGUAAUAUGUAAAAAGGCAUGGUGGGUGACGCGACAAAGACAAUGAAGUACACCUCAAUGUAAUAUUUUUUGUCUGUAAUUAAGUUACAACAAUAAACGCAUGCAAGUUUUG